CAGGGAGACAACAAAAUGUUUAAUAUUAUUAUUUUGUCACCUUAGGUCGAUCGGUAUCUCACAUCCUUAAUUUAUUAAGGAUUUCAUUUCCUAAGUUUUUCUAGGUCACACCCAUUAUUUUUCCUGGGCCAUUAGCUCAGGUGGUUAGAGCGCACCCCUGAUAAGGGUGAGGUCCCUGGUUCAAGUCCAGGAUGGCCCAUAUCUCUAUGUUGGGGGUAUAGCUCAGUUGGUAGAGCGCCUGCUUUGCAAGCAGGAUGUCAGCGGUUCGAGUCCGCUUACCUCCACUGAUUACCACCUCUUCCAUAUUUAUGAUGAAGGAAAUGUUUUGAGUUGUGAUCAAAUUCUGAACGAUUCUAGCUUCCUAAUGAAAUCAUUAAGAUGCUGGACUCAUUGAAUUAAUUUCAUUGUUUUCAGAGAACCUUGACAACUGCAUAGAUUAUUUUUAAAGACAAUAAGCAUCUUUAAUGAUGCAGAUUUAUUAUUUGUGCGAAUGCAUUAAAUAACAAUUCUAUUAAGCUGAUGCUUCAAUUAUUGAAGUUAUU
rnacentral:tRNA from 1 species